UCCGUAGGGUGCGAUCGUUGUCCGGAAUUACUGGGCGUAAAGAGCUUGUAGGCGGUUUGUCGCGUCGUCUGUGAAAACUCACAGCUCAACUGUGAGCUUGCAGGCGAUACGGGCAGACUUGAGUACUGCAGGGGAGACUGGAAUUCCUGGUGUAGCGGUGAAAUGCGCAGAUAUCAGGAGGAACACCGGUGGCGAAGGCGGGUCUCUGGGCAGUAACUGACGCUGAGAAGCGAAAGCGUGGGUAGAGAACAGG
rnacentral:rRNA from 1 species